rnacentral:rRNA from 1 species
AACGAACGCUGGCGGCAGGCUUAACACAUGCAAGUCGAACGGGCACUUCGGUGCUAGUGGCAGACGGGUGCGUAACACGUGGGAACGUACCUUUCGGUUCGGAAUAAUUCAGGGAAACUUGGACUAACACCGGAUACGCCCUUCGGGGGCAAGAUUCAUUGCCGAUAGAUCGGCCCGCGUCUGAUUAGCUAGUUGGUGAGGUAAUGGCUCACCAAGGCGACGAUCAGUAGUUGGUCUGAGAGGAUGAUCAGCCACAUUGGGACUGAGACACGGCCCAAACUCCUACGGGAGGCAGCAGUGGGGAAUAUUGGACAAUGGGCGCAAGCCUGAUCCAGCCAUGCCGCGUGAGUGAUGAAGGCCUUAGGGUUGUAAAGCUCUUUUGUCCGGGAAGAUAAUGACUGUACCGGAAGAAUAAGCCCCGGCUAACUUCGUGCCAGCCGCCGCCGUAAAAC